CCCUUAGAUGUUCUGGGCCGCACGCGCGCUACACUGAUGCAUUCAACGAGUCUAAAACCUGGUCUGAUAGGGCUGGGUAAUCUUUUGAAAGUGCAUCGUGAUUGGGAUAGAUGAUUGCAAUUCUUCAUCUUCAACGAGGAAUGCCUAGUAAACGCAAGUCAUCAGCUUGCAUUGAUUACGUCCCUGCCCUUUGUACACACCGCCCGUCGCACCUACCGAUUGAAUGGUCCGGUGAAGCCUCCGGAUUGGCGCGCACCUCGGUGCCGCCGAGAAGUUGGCUAAACCUUACCAUUUAGAGGAAGGUGAAGUCGUAACA
rnacentral:rRNA from 1 species